rnacentral:rRNA from 1 species
GAUGAACGCUGGCGGCGUGCCUAAUACAUGCAAGUCGAGCGAACAGACGAGGAGCUUGCUCCUCUGACGUUAGCGGCGGACGGGUGAGUAACACGUGGAUAACCUACCUCUAAGACUGGGAUAACUUCGGGAAACCGGAGCUAAUACCGGAUAAUAUAUUGAACCGCAUGGUUCAAUAGUGAAAGACGGUUUUGCUGUCACUUAUAGAUGGAUCCGCGCCGCAUUAGCUAGUUGGUAAGGUAACGGCUUACCAAGGCAACGAUGCGUAGCCGACCUGAGAGGGUGAUCAGCCACACUGGAACUGAGACACGGUCCAGACUCCUACGGGAGGCAGCAGUAGGGAAUCUUCCGCAAUGGGCGAAAGCCUGACGGAGCAACGCCGCGUGAGUGAUGAAGGUCUUCGGAUCGUAAAACUCUGUUAUUAGGGAAGAACAAAUGUGUAAGUAACUAUGCACGUCUUGACGGUACCUAAUCAGAAAGCCACGGCUAACUACGUG